rnacentral:tRNA from 1 species
GGGCGCUUGGUCUAGGGGUAUGAUUUUCGCUUCGCAUCUUCUGAACUCUUUCGAGGGAUUCAGAUGCGCUGAUCUGUGAAAGGUCGUGGGUUCAAUUCCCACAGUGUCCA